GUGCUCACUUCAGCAGCACAUAUACUAAAACUGGAAUGAUACAGAGGACAUUAGAAUAGCCCCUUUGCAAGGAUGACAUGCAAAUUCAUGACGGGUUUCAUACUAUG
ensembl:snRNA U6 U6 spliceosomal RNA